UACAGAGGUCUCAAGCGUUGUUCGGAUUCAUUGGGCGUAAAGGGUGCGUAGGCGGCGCGGUAAGUCGGGUGUGAAAUUUCGAGGCUUAACUUCGAAACUGCAUUCGAUACUGCCGUGCUUGAGGACUGGAGAGGAGACUGGAAUUUACGGUGUAGCGGUGGAAUGCGCAGAUAUCGUAAGGAAGACCAGUGGCGAAGGCGGGUCUCUGGACAGUUCCUGACGCUGAGGCAACGAAGGCCAGGGGAGCAAACGGG
rnacentral:rRNA from 1 species